rnacentral:rRNA from 1 species
AUGACACAGAAUUUAGCAAACAAUGGUGGUGACAUAGACGGCAUCAGGCUCGAGAUGACGGAGGAUAGACCCGAGCACAAACGUUACAUGCGCUAUUACAACUACGUCUUCGAGUCCCGCGGCAAGCUGUUGUGGGCGUCCGUCUUACUCGAGCAUGAAUGGCACCAUAAAAACAUGGACACCUUGUCCACCAAUGACCCCGUGGUACCAACGCUAGCGGUGAUGGUGCAUGAAGCGGAAGAAGAAGUGGACGGUGGCAAGGUCAAGAUGCGAUGGGUGGUGAGAGAUGGCCGGAGUUUGGGUGAUCAUGUCCUGUACCUUGGGUUCCCCACGAGCUUCGCUGCAGACUCCACCCAGCUAGACAUGGACGGUGGAUGUGUCUACUUUGUCUUUUUACAUCGCUUGUACAGGUACAACUUCAUCACUGGCGAAACCAAACUCAUGGAGUCGCCACGUAACGGAUGGAUUUCCCCUGAUGCACACCUGUGGCUCCGGCCACGACCUGUGAUUUCUCCUAUUGAAGAAAUUCAAGAAAGACUUAGGAUCCGGCCAAACAGAAAAGAAGACCAAAAAGGAACGGCUCAACUACCUCAGCUGGUCUUUGCUGAACGGAGCCAGCUAUACGCAACUAACUCACCUGAUUUUCUUUUGCAGCUACACAAAAAAUAUAUUUCUUGA